GCAUUACUCCCUCCGUUCCAUAAUUCUUGUCAAAAUAUUACAUGUAUCUAGACGCUUUUUAUGAAUAGAUACAUCCAUUUUUAGGCAAAUUUGAGACAAGAAUUAUGGAACGGAGGUAGUAGUAA
rnacentral:pre_miRNA from 1 species